rnacentral:rRNA from 1 species
GACGAACGCUGGCGGCGUGCCUAAUACAUGCAAGUCGAACGCAGUGGGGACGGGUGGGUAACACGUGGGUAACCUACCAUCAGAGGGGAUAACACUUGGAAACAGGUGCUAAACCGAUAGUGAUGGAUGGACCCGCGGUGCAUUAGCUAGUUGGGGAGGUAACGGCCCACCAAGGCCACGAUGCAUAGCCGACCUGAGAGGGUGAGCGGCCACACUGUGGCUGAGACCCGGCCCAUGCUCCUACGGUAGGCAGCAGGAGGUAAUCUUCGGCAAUGUACGAAAGUCUGACCGAGCAACGCCGCGUGAGUGAAGCAGGUUUGCGGUUCGUAAAACUCUGUUGUUUGAGAAGCGGUAUCUAACCAGAAAGCCACGGCUAACUACGUGCCAGCCGCCGCGGUAAUAC